AAAAAACACAAAAAUAAAAAUAAAAAUAAAUAAAUAGAGUGAAAAAUCCUUGCGUUGGAACCUUGUUCCCACCAGACAGUGGUUGUAUGGUUUCCAGGUGUUCUCUGUUGCCUAUGGUUUCUCCAUUGUAAACCUUUGGGGGGCGGGGAGGGGGAGAGGGUUCUAGGUUAUAACUCUCCUUCACAGGGCUGUUGGGAAAAUCACCUGGAACAUAGGAAUGGCCAACAAAACAUUAGUUAGUAGUAGUGAUUAGCAGGCCUCUGUAUUUCCAUUCUAGUCUUCUAACAGGUCCAGCCUGGCUUUUAUGGUGGCAGUGCCACUAAGACACUUCCUGAAACAGAUUCAGGGAUAAUAAAAGAGCAAAAUGAUUUUUCUUUUUUUUUUUCAGCCACACCUGCAGCAUAUGGAAGCUCCUGGGCCAAGGAUCAAAUCUAAGCCAUAGCUGCAACCUACGCCAAGGCUGCUGGAAAAGAUCGCUCUCUGGCACUGAGCAAACAAGUUGUUUUCCUGAAAUGCCGGCGUGUGGGCAGAAGCGGGAAUGUUUCCUCCAACCUUUGGACUUGGGGGAAUUUCAACCCCUGGGUAAAAUUUGAGUGACCUCAGACAGGGCGGAUUUCCUUCAAGUUACUCAAGGGGAGACUCUGGGACUUGUCAGAGCUCAGACCUGAAUUAAUGGGCUGUCUUGGGUGGUUCCAAACCCCCCUCCCAAUUAGAGGGAUUCCUAAAUAUUCCAAAAGGUGAUCUUUUGAUUGCAAGAGGAGACCAGUUGACUGCAUGGACUUCAGGAUGCUGAUAACAGCCAUUCGUCUAGGAAUGGACUAUUUUAAGGGGUGAUCUCAAUUUCACCUUUUUUUCCCCCCCUUUCAGACUUGAUUGUCCAUUUUCCUCCUCCACGUCCAGUGUAUUUUAACUCUUCCUGCGUCUUUCCGUUUGAGUACGGGGACCAACUGCACCACAACUGCAUCUGGGUCCACAGCGAUUAUGCCUGGUGUUCUAUUGACCAGAAGUUCCAAGGCAGGUGGCGGUACUGUACAGCCAGAGACCCCCCAAGGUGUAUCUUCCCUUUCUUGUACAGAAAUAAAUUAUUUCAUAGAUGCACCAGGGAAGGCUUUGUCUUGAGUCGGAGUUGGUGUUCACUGACGGAGAAUUACGACCAAGACGGAAAAUGGAAACAGUGCUCUCCUCACCAGCUCUGGUUUGCUGGCCCCUGACUCAGGUGAUCUGCCCGUGACCUCAGUCAAGUGAAGAAAUGAGUGUUUAGAUAAAUCUUGGUGUCCUUGAAGAGACAGAGGUUAUAGGAUGCAUCAGCUGCCUCUCAAAAGACCUCCUCUUCCUGAUGAUUCUGACCAAUAAAGAUUUGCGCUCUCUUCCA